GAUAUAUUCCCUUCGUCCGAAAAUACGUACCGAAGAAAUGAAUAAAGUUUGAUGUAUUUAAAACUAAAAUACGUCUAGAUACAUCAAUUUUUUCGAUAAGUAUUUUCGGGCGGAGGAAGUACAUG
rfam:Triticum aestivum genome assembly, contig: Triticum_aestivum_CS42_TGACv1_scaffold_030243_1BL